rnacentral:rRNA from 1 species
CAGUCGUACGAGAGUUUUUAACUCUAGUGGCGGACGGGUGAGUAACACGUGAGAAUUUGCCUUUAGGAGGGGGAUAACAAUCGGAAACGAAUGCUAAUACCCCAUAUGCUUUUGAGUGAAAUGGAUUUAUCCGCCUAAAGAGAAGCUCGCGGCUGAUUAGCUUGUUGGUGAGGUAAGAGCUUACCAAGGCGACGAUCAGUAUCUGGUUUGAGAGGACGAUCAGACACACUGGAACUGAGACACGGUCCAGACUCCUACGGGAGGCAGCAGUGGGGAAUUUUCCGCAAUGGGCGAAAGCCUGACGGAGCAAUACCGCGUGAGGGAAGACUGCCUAUGGGUUGUAAACCUCUUUUUUCAGGGAGGAACAAAAUGACGUGUACCUGAAGAAUAAGCAUCGGCUAACUCCGUGCCAGCAGCCGCGGUAAGACGGAGGAUGCAAGUGCUAUCCGGAAUCACUGGGCGUAAAGCGUCU